ensembl:lncRNA novel transcript
AUGUGACUUCUGCACCUCAUCUCUGGGAUGGUUUCAGUGGGUCCUAGAUUGCUUUCUGUGCUCCCUGGGACAGUUGGUGGCACUCUGUGAGACUACUCUGAGACCAGUCCUUUCCAUCAUGGGCUCCUGUGGAAAAUGACCCCAGCUCAGCUCAGUAGUUGAUGGGACAUCUGAUUCAGGACAACAUAUAUCAAGCAGGGGCCAUUGCUCCAGCCUGACUCCAGGAAUCAGCAGACAGCGCAGCCUCAUUCUCCACCUGCUCCCUGCAGUACAGCCUCAGAACCACACAGUUGCAGCCAACCAGCUCCUGACAUGGAACUUGAGCAACAAAUGCCCUUUGUUUUUGCAAGUCCCUGAGAUUUGGAAGUUGUUACACAGCAUUCUCUCAGCCAGAAGUGACUGACAUGGUAUCAUUGCAGUCUUGAUCAAUUUGCCCUAUGCAAAGUGUUUUUAUAUGCCAUGAAUUUCUGAAGAUAGAACUACUGUUAUUCCCCAUGCAGCAGCUGAGGAAACUGAGUCUUAGAAUGUAUAAACAACUUUCCCAAGGCUACUGAAAGUGAUGGGAAUCAAAUAUAUCUUUGCCUAACUCCAGAUCCCAUGCUUUUGAAGAUAUUUAUACUGCCUAAAGCUGUAACAGACUUUUCUAAUAGUCAUACAUGGCAUAUUUAGUUGCUCUCCAUGGGGAAAUAAUGACCUGACAUGGAAAAUAUUGGUGUACUUUAUUAUGAGAUUCUAAUAAGCAACCAUUAUACAUGUAUAUAAUAUAUACAUGCAACCUCUUAAGCUUAUGCCAUUCUGUAUGGAUGUUACUAGCUUGAAGAAAUUCUAAAGAGUAGGGAUAUUAAAAAUACUGAGCCAAUAAAGUAGGAUAAUUUUUUUAUUGUAGUCAAUUUUCAUUUAUAAUAUUAAAUUCUUGCACUCCCUUUC